UAGUCACACAGAUAGACCAUAUCUCCUUGAC
rnacentral:piRNA from 1 species